GGCAAAUUAAUUAUACACGAGUAUGUUCAUCUUGUUCAUCGUGGGGUAGAUUGUUUAUUGCCUAUUAUAGCAGCUUAUCACAGCAGGCACAUGCCUCAAAUUCAUUGCGGAACACACCUCUUAAUUCUUCUUUGUUGUCAGUGUUUGUAUACUUGCCAUCUCAAUCUGAAUACAUUUUGAAGGCCAACCAGCUGUCCUGCGUGCCAUGUGAGGAAAGUUGUUGUAGCAGUUGGAAAUGGAUUGAUGUUUGCUUCAGAGCAGUGUUGGAGUAGAUUUUAGUAACAUGCUUCGUUUCUCUGUUUUUAAUUUGCUGGUUGUUGAACCGCUAUGCCUUUUACAGAUUGUGUGAACGAAUCUGGUCAUGUUCUUAAUAGUAUGCAGGACAAUACCUUUUCGAUGAAUAAGUAACCCCUUG
rnacentral:lncRNA from 1 species